rnacentral:tRNA from 1 species
GGGGCUGUAGCUCAGUGGCAGAGUGCUUGCCUAGCAUGCAUGAGGCAAUGGGUUUGAUCCUCAGCACCA